GGUGUGUGGAGAUCCAACCCCACUGGAAGGGCCAGAUACCUCAAGGAAGAUGGAUCCUACCUGCUCUGUGGAUUUUGGGCUGAUGAGCCUGAAGCACCAGCCCAGGCCUGGUCUGAGACUGUGAAAUGUACAAUCCAGCAGCCCGUCUGCUGUGCUGAGGCCAAUGUGGUGGAAGACCUUUCCUACAAAAAGGAGGAAGGGGAGGUGGCAACUGCAGUCCAGGCUGAGCCUAUCCCCAGGGUGUGUGGAGAUCCACCCCCACUGGAAAGGCCAGAUGUCAUCCUGCCUAUCCUGAAGGAUGACAGAUCCUACAUGCUCUGUGGAUAUUGGGCUGUUGAGUCUGGAACACCAGUGCAGGUUUCUGCUGAGCCUUGGCACCUUACAGCCCAGCAGCCCAUCUGCUGUGCUGAGGCCAUUGUGGUGGAAAACCCCUACCACCAAAAGGAGGAAGUGGAGUUGGCAUCUACAGACCAGGCCGAGGCUAUCCCCAGGGUGUGUGGAGAUCCACCCCCACUGGAAGGGCCAGAUGCCAUCGUGCCUAUCCUCAAGGAUGAUGGGUCCUACAUGCUCUGUGGAUACUGGGCAGAUGAACCUGAAGCACCAGCCCAGGCCUGGGCUAGGGCCUGGCACUUUACAACCCAGCAACCCCUCUGCUGUGCUGAGGCCAUUGUGGUGGAAGACUCCUCAAACAAAAAGGAGAAAGUCAAGGGGGCAUCCUCAGAUCAGGCUGAGGCUAUGUCCAGGGUGGGUGAAGAUCCACCCCCACUGGAAGGGCCAGAUGUCAUCACACCUAUCCUCAAGGAUGAUGGGUCCUACAUGCUCUGUGGAUUUUGGGCAGAUGAUCCUGAAGCACCAGUCCAGGCCUGUGCUGAGCCCUGGUACCUUACAACCCAGAAGCCCAUUUGCUGUGCUGAAGCCAUUGCGGUGGAAGAGCCUUCCUGCAAAAAGGAGGAAGGGGACUCAGCAUCUGCAGAGCAGGCCGAGGCUAUACCCAGGGUGUGUGGAGAUCCACCCCCACUGGAAGGGCCAGAUGCCAUCGUGCCUAUCCUCAAGGAAGAUGGAUCCUACCUGCUCUGUGGAUAUUGGGCUGAUGAGCCUGAAGCACCAGUCCAGGCCUGGGCUGGGGCCUGGCACUUUACAACCCAGCAGCCCAUCUGCAGUGCUGAGGACACUUUGGUGGAAGAGCCCUCAUUUCAAGAGGAGGAAGGUGUGGUGGCACCUGCAGACCAGGCUGAGGCUAAUCAGAGCCUCUGCUCUGCAUCACACCUCGGGGUGUGUGAAGAUCCACCCCCACUGGAAGGGCCAGAUGUCAUUGUGCCUAUUCUCAAGGAUGAUGGGUCCUACAUGCUCUGUGCAAUUUGGAUGGAUGAUCCUGAAGCACCAGUCCAGGCCUGGGCUGGAGCCUGGCACCCUACAACCCAGCAGCCCAUCUGCUGUGCUGAGGCCAUUGUGGUGAAAGAUGCCACCUACCAAAAAGAGAAAGUCAUGUUGGCAACUGCUGAUUGGGCUGAGGCUACCUCCAGGGUGAGUGGAGAUCCACCCCCACUGGAAGGGCCAGAUGCCAUCGUGCCCAUCCUCAAGGAUGAUGGGUCCUACAUGCUCUGUGCAUAUUGGGCUGAUGAGCCUGAAGCCCCAGUCCAGGCCUGGGCUGGGGCCCUGCACCCUAUAAUCCAGCAGCCCAUCUGCUGUGCGGAGGCCAUUGUGGUGGAAGAUGCCUCCAGCCAGAAGGAGAAAAUAGAGGUGGCAUUUGCAGAGCAGACUGAGGCCACACCCAGGGUGGGUGAAGAUCCACCCCCACUGGAAGGGCCAGAUGUCAUCGUGCCUAUCCUCAAGGAUGACGGAUCCUACCUGCUCUGUGCAUAUUGGGCAGAUGAGCCUGAAGCCCCAGUCCAGGCCUGGGCUGGGGCCCUGCACCCUACAGCCCAGCAGCCCACCUGCUGUGCUGAGGCCAUUCUCGUGGAAGAGCCCUCAUCACAAGAGGAGGAAGGGAAAGUGGCACGUGCAGACCAGGCCGAGGCUAAUCAGAGGGUGUGUGGAGAUCCACCCCCACUGGAAGGGCCAGAUGUCAUUGUGCCUAUCCUCAAGGAUGAUGGUUCCUAUGUGCUCUGUGCAUAUUGGGCAGAUGAGCCUGAAGCACCAGCCCAGGUCUGGGCUGAGGCCUGGCAUGCAAAAACCCAGCAGUCCAUCUGCUGUGCUGAGGCUUUUUGGGUGCUAAGAACUUCCUCUGGUGGAUACCAUGAAACCUGA
rnacentral:lncRNA from 1 species